rnacentral:rRNA from 1 species
GAUGAACGCUGGCGGCGUGCCUAAUGCAUGCAAGUCGAGCGAACAGACGAGGAGCUUGUUCCUCUGUCGUUAGCGGCGGACGUGUGUGUAACAUGUGGAUCACCUCCCUAUAUGUCUGGGAUAACCUCGGGACACCGGCGCUAAUCCCGGAUAAUAUAUUGCACCGUAUGGUUCAAUAGUGAAAGACGGUUUUGCUGUAUCUUAUCGCUGGUUAUGCGCCUGAUUGGCUAGUUGGUACGUUAACGGCUUACCAAGGCGACCAUGCGUAGCCGACUUGAGAGAGUGAUCGGCCACACUGGAACUGAGACGCGGACCAGGCGCCUACGAGAGGCAGCAGUAGGGAAUGGUCCGCAAUAGUCGAAAGCCUUACGGAGCAACGCCGCGUGAGUGAUGAAGAUCUUCGGAGCGUAAAACUCUGUUAUGGGGGAAAAACAAAUGUGGAAGGAGCUAUGCACGGCUUGACGGUACCUAAUCAGAAAGCCACGGCUAACUACGUG